GCCUGGCUGGAUGAUUUGCCAGAGAUGUGGCGACUGUCUGGAACCUUAAGAAGUUUGAAGGGAGAAGUUUUCACAAGCGUUCCGAUGCAGCGGCUGUCACUACUGGAGUUUGUCAAAUGCGAAGCCAAAAGUCCUGAAGAAGCACACCACAGACCUCAACCCACUUCCCCACCUCAAGCAAUACUUCAUCAGGAAAAUAGCCAAGAAAAACGACCUCUCUCCAUGGCUCAUAAUGAGGCUGCAUGGAACAUUCAUUUGCAUAGCCAGUGUCUACAGCCCUACGGUGUGAAGACCAAUCAUCUGUACCCAAACACCUGUUGGACAGUCACAUGGUCGAUCGUAGCCACGACUCAAUUCCUCAUCAUCAGCGCCUUUAUAGGACAUUCUUGUUGGCAACAAGUAUUUAUAACAGUAGUGCAGUGUAUGGCUCGUAGCAACUGCACAUGGAAGAACAAUAAAGAAGUUGUAAAGUAAUUAGAGUGUAGAUAACGUUAACUAUCACAUUAACAACAAUCUAUUAGUUGUUUUUUGGAUUGCCAGUUUAUAACCCUUGGUCAUGAGCACAUAAAUAGUGAGCUUUGGCUCAUUACUGCAGGUGAGUUAUUAAUACUCUUACUUGUGAGUUACAAUUAAACAACACCAUUUCAAUCUUGCACCUCUGUCAUUAGCCCUACAUUCAUGUUUA